rnacentral:rRNA from 1 species
AUACGGAGGGUGCAAGCGUUAAUCGGAAUUACUGGGCGUAAAGCGCGCGUAGGCGGUUUGAUCAGUCGGAUGUGAAAGCCCUGGGCUCAACCUGGGAGCUGCAUUCGAUACUGUCAGACUAGAAUAUGGUAGAGGGUAGUGGAAAUCCUGGUGUAGCGGUGAAAUGCGUAGAUAUCAGGAGGAACAUCAGUGGCGAAGGCGGCUACCUGGACCAAUAUUGACGCUGAGGUGCGAAAGCGUGGGGAGCAAACAGGAUUAGAAACCCUAGUAGUCC